rnacentral:tRNA from 1 species
GGUAGUAUAGCUUAGUGGUAGAGUACUUGCCUCACAUGCAUGAAGCCCUGGGUUCAAUUCCUCAGUACCA